rnacentral:rRNA from 1 species
GGCUAUACCGGCUUAUCAAAGCCUGAUCUUGUGAGAUCUCAGCUAAGUAGGGCAGGGCCUGGUUAGUAUUGGAUAGGAGACCACUCAGAAUACCAGGUGUC